UACGUAGGGCGCGAGCGUUGUCCGGAUUUAUUGGGCGUAAAGAGCUCGUAGGCGGCUUGUUGCGUCGACCGUGAAAACCCGCGGCUUAACUGUGGGCUUGCGGUCGAUACGGCCGGGCUGGAGUUCGGUAGGGGAGACUGGAAUUCCUGGUGUAGCGGUGAAAUGCGCAGAUAUCAGGAGGAACACCGGUGGCGAAGGCGGGUCUCUGGGCCGAUACUGACGCUGAGGAGCGAAAGCGUGGGGAGCGAACAGG
rnacentral:rRNA from 1 species